rnacentral:tRNA from 1 species
GCCGAUGUAGCUCAGUCGGUAGAGCGCGAGGCUCUUAACCUCGUGGUCGCGG